rnacentral:rRNA from 1 species
AUUGAACGCUAGCGGGAUGCUUUACACAUGCAAGUCGAACGAGCGGCGGACGGGUGAGUAAUAUAUCGGAACGUGCCCAGUAGAGGGGGAUCACUACUCGAAAGAGUGGCUAAUACCGCAUACUAUUGUAGCGGCCGAUAUCGGAUGAGCUAGUCGGUGGGGUACAGGCUCACCAAGGCAACGAUCCGUAGCUGGUUUGAGAGGACUAUCGUCCACACUGGGACUGAGACACGGCCCAGACUCCUACGGGAGGCAGCAGUGGAGAAUUUUGGACAAUGGGGGAAACCCUGAUCCAGCCAUCCCGCGUGUAUGAGAAGGCCUUCGGGUUGUAAAGUACUUUUGGCAAAGAAGCGGUAUCUGCAGAAUAAGCACCGGCUAACUACGUGCCAGCAGCCGCGGUAAUAC